rnacentral:rRNA from 1 species
UACGUAGGCAGCAAGCGUUUGUUCGGAGUUACUGGGCGUAAAGGGUGCGUAGGCGGCUUUUUAAGUUUGGUGUGAAAUCUCCCGGCUCAACUGGGAGGGUGCGCCGAAUACUGAGAGGCUAGAGUGUGGGAGAGGAAAGUGGAAUUCCUGGUGUAGCGGUGAAAUGCGUAGAUAUCAGGAGGAACACCUGUGGCGAAAGCGGCGCACUGGACCACAACUGACGCUGAGGCGCGAAAGCUAGGGGAGCAAACAGG